GCGUGCGUUUGGGGGGCGUUCGGCGCAAGCCGAGGUUCAGGGUCGGAGCUAGCCCCCCAGACACUGC
rnacentral:sRNA from 1 species